rnacentral:rRNA from 1 species
AGAUUCCUACGGGAGGCAGCAGUGAGGAAUUUUCCGCAAUGGGCGAAUGCCUGACGGAGCAAUGCCGCGUGGAGGAUGAAGGCCCGUGGGUUGUAAACUCCUUUUCUUAGAGAAGAAGAUCUGACGGUAUCUAAGGAAUAAGCAUCGGCUAACUCCGUGCCAGCAGCCGCGGUAAUACGGAGGAUGCAAGCGUUAUCCGGAAUCAUUGGGCGUAAAGGGUCCUGAGGUGGCCUGCCCAGUCCGCUGUGAAAGAUCAGGGCUCAACCCUGAAUAUGCGGUGGAAACUAGCAGGCUAGAAUACGGUAGGGGCAGGGGGAAUUCCCGGUGUAGCGGUGAAAUGCAUAGAUAUCGGGAAGAACACCAACGGCGAAGGCACCCUGCUGGGCCGAUAUUGACACUGACAGACGAGAGCUAGGGGAGCGAAUGGGAUUAGAUACCCCAGUAGUCCUAGCCGUAAACGAUGGAUACCAAGUGCUGAACGACUCAAAACGUGCAGUGCUGCAGCUAACGCGCUAAGUAUCCCGCCUGGGGAGUAUGCCCGCAAGGGUGAAACUCAAAUGAAUUGACGGGG